rnacentral:lncRNA from 1 species
UCUUCCCUCACAAUAAGAGGCAAUUAAAUAAUAAAAAGCAUAAAUCCCUAAAUUAUAAAAGGGAUAAUCAAACGGACAAGAACUAAGGCAAAGAUGUGGCUUGGGGUACACGGACUGAGCCUCUGCUCAGUAAUGAAUGUGUUACGUUAGCUUUGUGAAUAACCAAUUCACUAAAUUCUUUUUUCUUAUGUGAAUGCGUUACUAUUUCAGUUCUGUAAACGUCAUCUUUACUAAGCCGUAACAUUCAACGAAGCCUUCACGUAUACCUAUACAUUUUUUUUCUUUUUUCUUUGUACUAAUUUUUGGUUACCGAGUCCUUUGCAAUUUUGCUUACAAGGAUUUCUGUUAUGAUACAAAUAGACCCUUUGACGGAAGCCUACAUAUCGCAAUUCUCUGUUGUACCUUGGAAGUGCAGCUCAUUGAACGCUCUUUUUAAGUUAUUUUUUUUUCUGAACUCUUUCCACAGCCAUCCAUCCUUCAGCGCGUAUUAUGACAUAUAUUAUGAGAUUUGGACGAUAAGAUGAUUCGAGGACCAAUCUUUUUUACGUAUUACAAAGUGACAUUAUCUCUAUCGUCUCUUCUAACAAAUACCUCAUUUUGUAUACUCGCAAUAAGCACGAAUAAUUUUUUUUUUCAAUUUAAGAUCAAAAUUGAACGUUAAGAUUUUUCAAAUAAUUUUUUUAAAAUCUAGACUUUAAUUUGUAAUAUAUGCUCUAUCAUGUUGGUGAAAUAAGUUGUCCAGUUUUUAUUUAUCUUAUUUCGAAUUACUAACACUUUCUGAAAGAAUUUUUCUUGGUGGACGGUUUCCUAGCUGUUUCAGAAUGGUUGAAAUACUUCUUAAUGUGUUUUGGCUUAAAAGGUGAACCUUAGCGUGAGUAGGAGAUGAGAUUGCGAAUGAGUGGAAAAGCGCACCUUACCUUGACGUCAAGCAGCCACAUUAAGCUUUCCUGCAGAUGAUGUGUUUUUUUACCUAACGCACCAUGUUUCCACGCAAAAUGCGGUGGAAAUUUCAACCAAUAUGUCCUAUUUCAAUUGGAAUGUCCUUCACAAGUGGUAAUGACGCCCUGUAGAAAGACAAGGUCAUAAUUCAGAUUUUUAUUAAACAUUACCAUAACAAGAGACUUGUCUCGUACCUCAGCCAGCUUUCCAAAGACAGAGUGUAAACCGCUGGACCAGCCAUCGAGAAAGAUGCCCUGUUUCCGGACAUGUUAAUUUUUUUAGCUACCGGAUAUAUAUUCAAUUUUGUGAGUAUGUAGGUACGUCUUGUGUAUUAUUUAAAAAAUUGUGCUAAGCAUUAGUAAAAAAAGGUAGUCAAAUUAUUAGCAUGGAAAUAUCUGCCCUGAUUUACCUCAAUCAAGGAAUACAUAAUUGAUGGCAAUCUAAUAACAAAAGAAUUACAAAAGCUACACCAUUGCACAGUAGUCUCAAGUAAUUUCUCUGGAUUCAUCAAUAUACGAAGUAACAAACACUGAAUAGCUAAUAGUGAUCAACCAUGGUAUCUUCAAUUGAACAAGUAUGGUGCUCAGAGUUUUAUCCUGUUCCAUUAUUAAUUUCCUUGUAGGCCACCUGCUUGCCUCCAUCCUGUUCAAAAUAAGAUGAUCAACAUUAUGUCUGGAUAAACUGUAAAUCCCAAUAAGAGCUCUCUAUGCAUGCAGAAUUUUCUAGCAACACUGUAAUAGGACUAGGUCAAAUUUUAUAAGGCAAACAAAAUCUGUAUUUCAGGAAUUCUUAUAAUUCUACAGAUUUUACCAAUGGUAGAAGGAACUUGACUGUAUAAGCUGUUCCAAUGUUCCAUGCCAAGACACAAUGUAAAAAUCAGUGUUAAUAAAUAAUCGACUUAGAUGCUAAUGAAGAUUUAUUAAAAAGAUCAGAAGAUUCAAGAGAUAAAUAUUGGUUACCGUGCAAUAAUGAAGUUGGAGCGUUGAAGCGGAACUUAAAUUAAAACCCUGCAACACUUCGAUAUUUCUUUUCGCAUUAACGAUGUACUUUUUUAUUCCAGCAUGACGCAGCCAUCUUCAGACAUGAUAAAUAGUCUAGGUUUCUGCUAGCUUUUAAUUAAAACGUUGCCAGAACUACAGACGUUUUCCGAAAACGUCAAAAAAGCGAAAGGGCCAAAUAUUAAAAUAUAUGUUAAACGCGAAAUUCUUUUCCAUUAUAACAAAAAUGCGAUGAGGAUCGUAUUCGAUCACAAAAAGGAAGGAAAAUUACUCCAUAAAUGUC